UACGUAGGGUGCGAGCGUUAAUCGGAAUUACUGGGCGUAAAGCGCGCGCAGGCGGUCUUCCAAGUCAGUGGUGAAAGCCCGGAGCUCAACUCCGGAACUGCCAUUGAAACUGUUGGACUUGAGUACGGAAGAGGCGAGUGGAAUUCCUGGUGUAGCGGUGGAAUGCGCAGAUAUCAGGAGGAACACCAAUAGCGAAGGCAGCUCGCUGGGACGUUACUGACACUGAGGCGCGAAAGCGUGGGGAGCGAACAGG
rnacentral:rRNA from 1 species